AUCCUCAGCAUUACCCACGAGCCCACUGAGGAGUGGGUGCUGGUAGGCCUGAGAACAAGCGACAUCAUAAUUCUCCACACACACCGGCCGGAGAAGUUUAAGGCAGUCUUGCAUAAAUACGUCAACCACCACAACCUCAAGUUUGCCUCCUGUGGGAGCUACUUUGUGACCGCGAUCGACGAGUCGAUCCACUGCAUAGCCGCACCUUCUCUACAAAGGUUGUUUCAGGUAGAGGAGCCGACAGAUGUCCUGUGUUGUGAUGUGUCUGCUGACAACCAGUAUCUGGUCACGGGCUCCAAGAACAGUGCCACAGUUUACCAGCUCUUGUACUGAAGUUUGCGUGCUGUGUUCCUGCUGGCGAAGACCCAGAGGAGGCCAGCAGGCCGAGGGCAUGGCAGCCUCCGUGGCCUGAUACCUUCACCUGACCCUCGGUGGUUGGGCCUGUCUGCUCCCUCUGCCCCAGACACACCUUGCCUGUGUUCGCAGGUUUUUAUGAUACGAUGUAGGGGUUUUUCCUUUGUUACUAUUCUUACUGCUGAUUUCUGGGUUUGGGUGGGGAAACUUGCCUUCGUAAUUAACAAAAUAGAAAAGCAAAA